rnacentral:rRNA from 1 species
GGUUGUAAACCUCUUUUUUCAGGGAGGAAUAAAAUGACGUGUACCUGAAGAAUAAGCAUCGGCUAACUCCGUGCCAGCAGCCGCGGUAAGACGGAGGAUGCAAGUGUUAUCCGGAAUCACUGGGCGUAAAGCGUCUGUAGGUGGUUUAAUAAGUCAACUGUUAAAUCUUGAGGCUCAACUUCAAAAUCGCAGUCGAAACUAUUAGACUAGAGUAUAGUAGGGGUAAAGGGAAUUUCCAGUGGAGCGGUGAAAUGCGUAGAUAUUGGAAAGAACACCGAUGGCGAAAGCA